AUUUUCCUCCCAAACAUUCCGAUAAAAUUGAAAUGAUACAGAAAAAUUAGCGUGGCUUCUGUGCAAGAAUAAAUCGAGAAACAAGUGUAGUUUUAAUUUUUAUU